rnacentral:rRNA from 1 species
UACAGAGGGUGCGAGCGUUAAUCGGAGUUACUGGGCGUAAAGGGCGCGUAGGCGGUUUGUUAAGUGAUAUGUGAAAUCCCUGGGCUUAACCUAGGAACUGCAUGUCAUACUGGCGAGCUAGAGUAUUGUAGAGGGUAGUGGAAUUUCCGGUGUAGCGGUGAAAUGCGUAGAGAUCGGAAGGAACACCAGUGGCGAAGGCGGCUACCUGGACAAGUACUGACGCUGAGGCGCGAAAGCGUGGGGAGCAAACAGG